AAAAUAAGGACUUUUGUUUGUUAAAAUAUGCCGCGUUAAGAGUGACAUUUCAUUGUAGAGGAGACUAAGGAAGAAUUCACCUCAUCGUUGAACAUGGUCAAAAUUCGGGUCAUCGCCCUACAGUUAGGAACAGGCCAGCAGGACCUGUCGUCCUGGCGAAAUCCGUGUCCUUCUUCCAGGUUCCAGGCUCAAUGCCAGGUCAAGGACAGGGAGCACCUGACGUCUCUAUCCAGACUCCAGCUCUUGAGCAGUUCUGGAAAGACCCGGAAGCCAACAUUUUCAGAAGCAUAACCUCUACAGAUGGUCAGCCUAGCAGAGGGAAGCUUGGAGCCCAAGGAAAGACAUGCCCAAAAUCAGGACCCCAACUAGUGACAACAGAAAUGGUUUCUGAAACUAUGCAAAGAGGAGCUGAAGGAAAAGACUUAAGCUUACAUGAUCUCAGCCCACCAUCUGAGAAAUACCAAAUUACAUUGGUAGAAAAGACCUUUGACUGGCUUUCACGUAGCCCAGAAGACACCACACACAGGGGCCUCAGUGGACGUCCAUUUGUAUCUGAUGGAUGCAUAAAGCACUUGUCGCAUUGUCUGAUUUGGGGCAAAGAGAACUGUGACUCCACUUAGAGCUCCUUACAUGCUUUUUGACGUGAAAGGAGCUAGUGUCGGGGGACGGAUGAAGCACAUGCUUGUAGAUUCCAGGUGUGAGCUCCACGUGUGGAAGUGAGGAUCUCCCAGAGGGCCCUGCCACCAGAGCUGUGAGAUAG